AUCAGAGGAAGAUUUUCAGCCUUUAGUGGAGUCAGAGGCGGAAAAAUCAAGGUUUGAGUGGUUCCAGGUGGAAAGGUUGAACCCCAGGGUGGUGUGCAGGGAGAAGAGACCUCAUGGAUUGGGGGGAACUGAAUCAAGCAGUGGAAAAGGAUCUGACCAGGUUGCUGCUGUUGUCUCGUGGCACUUUAAUAGCAAAUAAAAGUAAUCCAAGGCAGCCUCUUUCCCUGCAAAACAAAUUAACAAUAACAGAGAAUUAAUUUAGUGUCUUAAAAUAUCUGUAUAACCAACAUUCCAUUUGAAUUUCUUCUUACAGGUAUUGGAAAUUUGACUGAAGGCUACAUAUCAUGCACUGGAGAAGGGGCUUGCUGGAGCUGUUGAAGCUGCAUCACUGAGAGGGAGACCAGAAGCUCAGAGAGCUUGAAAGGGAAAGGUUUUAACUGCUCGUGGUAGAAGAACAGAAGGACUCUGUGGUGCCUUGAAAUUAAGCUCAAAUGGAUGCAAGGUAGCAUUGGCCAAAUACAGAGGAAGCUGGGAUUCUGUGUGCUGGCUGCUUAGUUCAUCUGUUGGCAAAUUCUGCUUGCUUGAAGUCCUGAUUGCUGGGAGACGAGGCUGUUUGCACUGGGCUUCGGAGAACCUGUCCUGCUCUUCCAUGCUCUGGUGCCAGAUUGGCAGCAAAGUUUGUGGUGGGCUGCUGUGGGUGGUGUCGAUACCCAGG
rnacentral:lncRNA from 1 species